GACAACGACGAAGAACCGUUACCAGGCCUUGACAUGCAGAGAACUUUCCAGAGAUGGAUGGUGCCUUCGGGAACGUCUGACACAGGUGCUGCAUGGCUGUCGUCAGCUCGUGUCGUGAGAUGUUGGGUUAAGUCCCGUAACGAGCGCAACCCUGUCCUUAGUUACCAGCACGUUAUGGUGGGCACUCUAAGGAGACUGCCGGUGACAAACCGGAGGAAGGUGGGGAUGACAUCAAGUCAUCAUGGCCCUUACGGCCUGGGCUACACACGUGCUACAAUGGUCGGUACAAAGGGUUGCCAAGCCGCGAGGUGGAGCUAAUCCCAUAAAACCGAUCGUAGUCCGGAUCGCAGUCUGCAACUCGACUGCGUGAAGUCGGAAUCGCUAGUAAUCGUGAAUCAGAAUGUCACGGUGAAUACGUUCCCGGGCCUU
rnacentral:rRNA from 1 species